UACGUAGGUGACAAGCGUUGUCCGGAUUUACUGGGCGUAAAGAGCGCGCAGGCGGUCGAUCAAGUCGAGUGUGAAAGCCCCCGGCUCAACUGGGGAGGGUCAUUCGAUACUGAUCGACUCGAAGGCAGGAGAGGGUAGUGGAAUUCCCGGUGUAGUGGUGAAAUGCGUAGAUAUCGGGAGGAACACCAGUGGCGAAGGCGACUACCUGGGCAACGACUGACACUGAGACGCGAAAGCGUGGGUAGCAAACAGG
rnacentral:rRNA from 1 species